rnacentral:rRNA from 1 species
AUUGAACGCUGGCGGCAUGCCUUACACAUGCAAGUCGAACGGCAGCACGGGGCAACCUGGUGGCGAGUGGCGAACGGGUGAGUAAUACAUCGGAACGUGCCCAAUCGUGGGGGACAACGUAGCGAAAGUUACGCUAAUACCGCAUAUUCUGUGAGCAGGAAAGCAGGGGAUCGCAAGACCUUGCGCUGAUUGAGCGGCCGAUGUCCGAUUAGCUAGUUGGUGAGGUAAAGGCUCACCAAGGCGACGAUCUGUAGCGGGUCUGAGAGGAUGAUCCGCAACACGGGGACUGAGACACGGCCCAGACUCCUACGGGAGGCAGCAGUGGGGAAUUUUGGACAAUGGGGGCAACCCUGAUCCAGCCAUGCCGCGUGAGUGAAGAAGGCCUUCGGGUUGUAAAGCUCUUUCGGCCGGGAAGAAAUCGCACAGGCUAAUACCUUGUGUGGAUGACGGUACCGGAAUAAGAAGCACCGGCUAACUACGUGCCAGCCGCCGCAGUAAGAC